AGGUAUAUAGUUUAAUGGUAGAACAAUGAUCUUCAAAAUCAUUUAUAUAGGUUCAAAUCCUAUUAUACCUG